rnacentral:rRNA from 1 species
GACGAACGCUGGCGGCGUGCUUAACACAUGCAAGUCGAACGAUGAACCCGGAGCUUGCUCCGGUGGAUUAGUGGCGAACGGGUGAGUAACACGUGGGUGAUCUGCCCUGCACUCUGGGAUAAGCCUGGGAAACUGGGUCUAAUACCGGAUAUGAGCUCCUGUCGCAUGGCGGGGGUUGGAAAGGUUUACUGGUGCAGGAUGGGCCCGCGGCCUAUCAGCUUGUUGGUGGGGUAAUGGCCUACCAAGGCGACGACGGGUAGCCGGCCUGAGAGGGCGACCGGCCACACUGGGACUGAGACACGGCCCAGACUCCUACGGGAGGCAGCAGUGGGGAAUAUUGCACAAUGGGCGAAAGCCUGAUGCAGCGACGCCGCGUGAGGGAUGACGGCCUUCGGGUUGUAAACCUCUUUCAGCAGGGACGAAGCGAGAGUGACGGUACCUGCAGAAGAAGCACCGGCCAACUACGUGCCAGCCGCCGCGGUAA